CAAAAACCCUAAGCUAAUUCCCCCACUUCAGACACAAAAAAGGAACGGGCAGCCACAUAAACACACAAAUAGUAGAGAGGAACGAGAAGAAGAGGAUUGUUUUUGGACAGAAAUUUUGAGGGAAAAGUUUGAGAGAAGAAAGGUCCUUCUGAUUCUUCCAUCUUCAAUUUUUUUUUAUUUUUAUUUUAAAUCCAAAACACACACACACACACAAAAAGAAGAUUUAUGUUCGGAUUUUGGUUUUUAAUAUGGGGUUUAGUUGAGUCGAGGUGUCGAUUCGAUCGUGACUGGUUGAGGUCCGUUCGUGGUUCGGUUCAUGGUUCUGUUCAAAUUUGACUACCAUUCGAAUUCCUGUACUCCGUUGUUGAUUCGAUUUUCGUUCCUGAAUUCGAUUGUAGUCGCACCAUUGAACUGAAUACACUGAAAAAAGCUUCAUCUCAGGAACAUUGGCGUGAGACAUUGGAUUUUUGAGCAUGCAAGGUUGCUUUGUUAGUUGAGUAGGUGCAAAUGUAUCAUUGAUUUAUGGGAUUGUGGUCUUAUUUAUGGGAUGAUUAGUGGGAAGUCACGGCUCUUAUCAUAUUUGGAUCCACCAUUUGUCUCUUUUAUUAUUAUUAUUUGUGUUCUUCUUUAGUUUAUAUAUUCUAGAUGCCUAUUUUGAUUUGGUUU